ensembl:lncRNA
CGCAAGGCAUGCAACGCUGCCCCUCCCCUGGUCCUCUUCUGCCCGACUCCCUCUGGAUAUUUUUAGCCGUGAUGAUGUGCCCCGUGAAAUCACGUAACGGAAACUACAUCAGAGAGAAAAGGGCCAGAGCUCUGGCCGUUAGAUAGAGGAGGAUCUGCAGAUAUCGCAUGGAAGAAAGAGGCUGCCAAUGAGAUGAAAGUGGUGCUGGGAUUAGGUUCGGCUUGGUUGUACCUGGUGGCGGUGGUCCUCACCAGUGCGUCGCAGAUACAGGUCGAGACAAGUGUGGCUCCAAUCAUCACUUCAACAACUGCACCUCUGGACUUAAAGGACUUGGGGAGGGAUGGUGGACAAACGAUCCAGAGUGUCACUGACAGCACAGAGACUACAGCUGAAGUCACAGCCUUUAGCUUCACAGAGGAGUCUACUACUGACACAGCCAUGACACCUGUAUCUAUUACUCAGGCAGGUGCAGUUACUUCAUCCACAGCUUCAGAGAGCCCCGUGGACACACAAACUCCACUGGGAUCAUCGACCACUCGAAGUUCCGGACACACCUUUUCAUCUCUGUCUGCCAGCACCUCUGUGGGGAGUACCCCCUCUGUCCUGUCCUCCAUCACAGCCUCUGACCCAACAACUACAGGAGGGUCCCAGAGCAUCACAGGGCCAACUCACCAGGAGACACCCUCGCAGCUCAAUGUUGGCGGUGAAGAUUUUAAGGGGAGUGGCCACAGCUCCCUGGACCCCCUGCUCGCUGGCCUUCUGUCGAUGUUUAUCGUCACCACGGCAGUCAUCUUUGUGGUUCUUUUUCUCAAGUUUAGGCACCAAAACAACAACCCAGAGUUUCACCGGCUCCAGGAUCUACCAAUGGAUGAUUUGAUGGAAGACACACCUCUUUCAAGAUACACCUAUUGAACCUAUUGAUGCCUCUUGUAAUUACCUUCUAGGGGAUGAAAAUGAAAAUAUAGUUUAA